rnacentral:tRNA from 1 species
UGGAGAGGUGUCCGAGUGGUCUAAGGUGCAUGACUGGAAAUCAUGUGUGGGGCAACCCACCGCGGGUUCGAAUCCCGCCCUCUCCGCCC